AUUUUUUUGGUUUUUUUUUG
rnacentral:sRNA from 1 species